GAGGAGAGAAAGUGGAGUUUGAGUAUAAAUAACUCUUUUGGAGAGGAUUGGUGUAAUUGAAUGGCAGGGGUAUGAGAUUUGAGGUCAAGGAAAUAUUUUUAUUAUUUUUUACGAUGAGAGAAAUUGUAGUACACAUGUAUAUUUAUGGGAAUGACUCAGUAGAAAGACCAAAAAUUUCAUAUGUGAGAGAAGGACCAAUUGAUGAAGCGAUGUUCUUGCGUGGGCGCGAGGAUGGGAUCGAGUGCACAGCGGAAGGUGGCACUUAGGAACACGCAGCACUCGUCCAUGCCAGCAGGAGGCAAGGCAGAAUGGAGUUUGAUGUCAUCACCCUGCAAACGAUGAAACAAAUCCCCAUUUUAUUGAUGACUGAUAACUUCAAAUGUGACAAGAGGAUUCAUUUCCUUAUUCAAUCAUUCCACAAAUAUUCACUGAGCAUCUCCUACGUGCCAGGCACCAGGCUGGACUUUAGGAUCAAUCAUAAUAAUUUUCAGGUUAUGGAUAAUGCCAAUGGGCACUUAGGAUGAUCAGGGAGGGCAGUUCUGAGAAGGGGCAUAUGAGCUGUGUUCCAGUUGUCUAUUGCUGUGUGACAAACUGCCCCAAAACUUAAUGGCUUAAAACAAUGACAGAAAUUACAUUACUCAUGAAUCUGCAGUUUAGGCAGGUGGGGACAGCAUGUCUCUGCUCCACCUAACAUCAGCUGAAGGUGGGAACUGGAAUCAUCUGGAGGCUUCCUCACUUACAUGUCUAGUGGUUGAUGCUGACUGAUGUUGGCUGUUGGCAAGGACCUCUGACAGGUCUGUUCCCCGAAACACCUGCAUGUGGUACAUGGCUUUGUCACAGCAUGAUGGCUGGGUUCCAAGGGUGAGCCUCACAAGACAGAGAACCAGGUGGAGGCUGUGCCAUCUUUGGUCACCUAGUCUAAGAAGUUACAGUCACUUCUAUACCAUUUAAUUCAUUAGUAGCAAGCCACUGAGGCUAGUCCAUGUUCAAGAGGAGGGGAAUUGGAUUCCCCCUUUUUUUAGGAUAGAAAAGAAUUUGUGGACAUGUUUUCAAAUGACCACAAACUAUGACCUAAAGAAAUUAGUGGAAGAGCAUUCCAGGAAGAAUUGUAAAGUCUCUGAUGCUGGAAAGGCUUGGUGUGUUUAAGGAAAUGAAAGGCCAGAAAGGCUUGAGCACAGCAAGGGCAGAAGGUAAGAUUUGAGGUUAGAUGUGGACAGAAGCCAUAUUAGGCAGUUAUAGGUGCUUGGAUUUUAUUCUGGAUGCAGUGAGGGCUGUUGAAAGAUUUAAGGUUUGUAUUCACUUCUUGAAAGGAUCACUCCAGCUAAUAUGCAGAGAAUGGAUUGAGGUGAGAUAAGGGUAGGGAAAACCAGUUAGGAUGCUAUUGGAGUGGUUUGGGGAGAGAGAGUGAUGGCUUGGACAAGAAUGUUGGCACUGGAGAUGAAAAGAAGUAGAUAGAAAUGGUGGAAGUAAAUGAACAAGUCUACCAGGAGACUGAAUGUGAGAGAAGGAAAGGAAGGCAGGAAACAAGAAUUCUUGGGUUUUAGGCUCAUGUCCAUCUUGAUGGUGGAGCCCUUUCUGUGAUUGGAAGACUAAGAGAGGAACUUGUUGAUACGGGCAAAAGGUAAAAUCCAGAGUCCAGUUCUAGGCACGUCAAACUUGAGAGGUUUGUAAGGUAUACUGAAGGCAAGAAGUAGACAUUUGGAUAUAUGAGCCUGAAACUCAGUGGAGAGCUUGGGACUGGAAAUAUAAAUUUGGGAAUUAUCAGCAUAUGGAUGGUAUUUAAAGCUGUAGGCCUCGGUGAGGUCACCAGGGGAAAAUCUAGAACAAAAGAGUGUGGAGACUGAGCCCUGUAAAGGGUAGCCUGCAAAGGAGAUUGAAAAGGAGUGGCCAAAAAAGACAGCAGGGAAACUAGGGCAUUGGAUGUUAUAGAUACCCGAGAAAGCGUUGGUCUGAAUGACCGUUAAGACUCCUCCAGAUAUGAAUUUCUGUAACUUUAUGGAUGUUUCAAAUCCCUUCAAGCUGGGAAAUUCUGUCUCUGUUGCAUCUUUGGGAUAACAAACUUCCUGAAGAAUCACUGUGUCUUUUCAAAGACUGAAAAUGGAUUCCCAGCAAUGUGAAAUCUUGUGCCUGAGUCCUAAAGUGAUCAAAGGUAAGGUUGAGCCUAGGACAAAAUGAGGAUCCCCUGGAGGGAAGCUAGGGCAACACAGUAAGUGGCAAAAGAAUACGAGUGAGGUUAUUUGACUAUCCUCUUCCAGUAGGGCUGGCUCAGCUAUGGCAGACCCCAGGGUGGUUAGGACAAAUGGCAGCCCCAUACAGGGACAUACAUGGACACUGAUCCUUGUUUUUUUCCUUUUUGGGGCCUUUCUGAAUCUCCACUCCAUGUGCAGGGUUGACCUGUUUCCUUGAGGAACUCUGAGAUUUGCAUCAAUGGAGUUAUCUGAGGGCUCUGUGGCUUGGGCUCUGUGCAGGAGGGCAGCCUGGCAAUUGGAUUGUUCCUGCUGGCUGGUGCCAUUGUGUGAUAUUGAGUCACCAGAAUGGUGCCGAUGCACUGCUUUUGGGUGAUAAUCAGGCGCAGGAUGAAUUCGGGGCACUGGGCUACUGAUGGUCAACUGUUAGCACCUGGGCUUGGGCUGUGUGUGGGCACCCAUGCCUCAGCUCUCACCUGUUCAUGUUCCUCCAUGGUACCAUCUCUGAUUUGUGGCGUUCAAAGGCGUAGGAUGGCAGCAAGCCUCCUUUACCCUGUAUAUCCAUCCCCUUGCUGUUGGCACCUAAGGUUGUCACCCCAUGCCCUCAUCAGUCUCUGUACCACAUAUCAGGAAGUCCUCCAGUGGUGGCUAUGCCUGCCUUCUCUGAGGACUUUAAAGACCUUGGCUUUGCCACGCCAACAGGCUCUUCCAACCAGUGCCUUUCCUCCAAAUGAUAUGGCGAUGUUUUGCUUUCCCAGGUCGAUCUUAAGCCAUUCCCAACAAGGAGUGGACAUCCUUGUGUGAAAAACACUGUUUUUCUUGCUCCAGUCACGUCUCCUUGCCUUUCUUGUCUUUUGGUGGUAGUGUGCAGAAGCAGAGGUGCAGGAAAUGUUGAAAGGGAUCACAUUCUAAGAAUGUAGUUAUAAUGGCCUGAAGAAUUCAAGAGAAUACAUGGUUGGAAGAUGUGUCACUUUAUGGUUACACUAUAAAACUCCAAAUGAAAAAUAAAUUAUCAUUCAUACUUUCCUGAAUAUUCUGGGUAAGGCUUGCAUUUUGGUCAUUAUUAAUGAAGUACAGAAACAACCUCUGAGAGAGUGGUUGGAUGCCAGUAUUUGCAGGUGCCACGAUGAAUGAUGCAGCACUAUCAGUCAAGAUGCAACCAACAUUAGACAAAUGGUAUCAGAGAACCACAGAGGCGAAAAAACAAAACCAAAACCCAAAACUAUAUUGUUUCAAUACAAACAGGUUCCAAAAGCUAUGACAUCGUGAGUGACAACAAUGUUGCCGCCUCUUUCUCACAAUAGGAAAUAAAACUUUAACCAAAAGAGCAUGGGCAGAUAUUUCCCGGAUCUGAACAGGAAUAGCUGGUGUCUGGACUCUAUGAAGAAUCUUCAUGUGCAGUGAUAGAAGAAUAAACACAUUUGAACCAAGUUCACCAUGGAGAGAGUGAGUGGGUUGGGGAAAAGGUGUUGUAUGUUUGAGGAGCGAGGAGAAGGUGUCAAAUAAUCAUCCAGGCAGACUUUUGUAGUGCACAGUGACCGGUGACCAGCAGCAUGUGUUUCCAUAGGCAUCUUCUCUCAGUACCCCAGAAGGUGAAUUGCCAGUGAGUCCUGCCAGGAUGCCCCUCGGUGACUGCACCACCCAGUAAGUCAUGGCUGUGUACUUCCCAUCAAGGUCUGGAUCUCAGCUCAGGUAGUGGGGGCUGCUCUUCCAUAGUCAUUCCAUCCUUGUGUGCUCUGCCUCAGCCCUGGGGAUAGUGGCCGCUUUCUGUACAUGUCAGUCCUCUAUUCUUUAGACUUCUUGUUACCCCAUUAGCAGCCAAUUCUCUUUUGUUACUGCUUAGCAGCCAACUUUUUUUAUAUUAAACUUUCCCCAACCAUCUGGAAGCUAGACUUCUGAAAUCAAGUUGUUGGCAGGAUUGGUUCCUUCUGAGGGCAGUGAGGGAAGGAUCCAUUCCAGGCUUCUCUCCUUGGCUUAUUGGUAAAAAGACAUCCCUUAACUAUGGCAAAACAACAACAACAACGACGACAAAAAACAAAACAAAACAAAACAAAACCCUGCAUCAAUUUGAUAAAUAAUCCUCCCCGUUGAU
rnacentral:lncRNA from 1 species